rnacentral:tRNA from 2 species
GCCGCCCUAGCUCAGUGGUAGAGCACAUCCAUGGUAAGGAUGGGGUCACGAGUUCAAAUCUCGUGGGCGGCUCCA